rnacentral:rRNA from 1 species
GAUGAACGCUGGCGGCGUGCCUAAUACAUGCAAGUCGAGCGAACAGACGAGGAGCUUGCUCCUCUGACGUUAGCGGCGGACGGGUGAGUAACACGUGGAUAACCUACCUAUAAGACUGGGAUAACUUCGGGAAACCGGAGCUAAUACCGUAUAAUAUAUUGAACCGCAUGGUUCAAUAGUGAAAUACGGUUUUGCUGUCACUUAUCGAUGCAUCCGUGCCGCAUUUGCUAGAUGGUAAGGUAACGGCUUACCAAGGCUACGAUGCGUAGCCGAACUCAGAGGGUGGUCGGCCACACUGGAGCAGGAACGCGGUCCACACUCCUACGAGAGGCAGCAGUAUGGAAUGUUCCGCAAUGGGCGAAAGCAUGACAGAGCGGCGCCGGGUGAGUUGUAAAGGUCUUCGGAUCGUAAAACUCUGCUAUUAGGGAAGAACAAAUGUGUAAGUAACUAUGGCCGUCGUGACGGUACCUGAUCAGAAAGCCACGGCUAACUACGUG